rnacentral:misc_RNA from 1 species
GAUGAAGAACGUAGCGAAAUGCGAUAAGUAAUGUGAAUUGCAGAAUUCAGUGAACCAUCGAAUCUUUGAACGCACAUUGCGCCCUCCGGCAUUCCGGGGGGCAUGCCUGUCCGAGCGUCACGAAAACCCCAUCACACUCGUUGUGGUCAUGGCUGCAGUGAGUCGUCUCCAGCGGAGAGGGUCACGCCGCUGAAAGGAAUGGUGCGGAUGAGUUCCGAUGGCCGAACGUAGUACUUGACAACCGUCGGCCGAUGGGACCCUCCAUCUCGCCCUGACGACGUACCCCCGUCGUACCCCCGAUCAGGUGGACCUCGGAUCAGGUAGGGAUACCCGCUGAACUUAAGCAUAUCAAUAAGCGGAGGA